rnacentral:rRNA from 1 species
UACCACCUACGGGGGGCAGCAGUAGGGAAUCUUCCACAAUGGACGAAAGUCUGAUGGAGCAACGCCGCGUGAGUGAAGAAGGGUUUCGGCUCGUAAAGCUCUGUUGGUAGUGAAGAAAGAUAGAGGUAGUAACUGGCCUUUAUUUUUCGGUAAUUACUUUGAAAGUCACGGCUAACUACGUGCCAGCAGCCGCGGUAAUACGUAGGUGGCAAGCGUUUUCCGGAUUUAUUGGG